GAUGAACGCUGGCGGCGUGCCUAAUACAUGCAAGUCGAGCGAACAGACGAGGAGCUUGCUCCUCUGACGUUAGCGGCGGACGGGUGAGUAACACGUGGAUAACCUACCUAUAAGACUGGGAUAACUUCGGGAAACCGGAGCUAAUACCGGAUAACAUGUUGAACCGCAUGGUUCAACAGUGAAAGACGGUUUUGCUGUCACUUAUCGAUGGAUCCGCUCCGCAUUAGCUAGUUGGUAAGGUAACGGCUUACCAAGGCAACGAUGCGUAGCCGACCUGAGAGGGUGAUCGGCCACACUGGAACUGAGACACGGUCCAGACUCCUACGGGAGGCAGCAGUAGGGAAUCUUCCGCAAUGGGCGAAAGCCUGACGGAGCAACGCCGCGUGAGUGAAGAAGGUCUUCGGAUCGUAAAACUCUGUUAUUAGGGAAGAACAAAUGUGUAAGUAACUAUGCGCGUCUUGACGGUACCUAAUCAGAAAGCCACGGCUAACUACGUG
rnacentral:rRNA from 1 species